rnacentral:rRNA from 1 species
UGGGGAAUCUUGCGCAAUGGGCGAAAGCCUGACGCAGCAACGCCGCGUGCGGGAUGACGGCCUUCGUGGUUGUAAACCGCUUUCAGCAGGGACGAAAAUGACGGUACCUGCAGAAGAAGCCCCGGCUAACUACGUGCCAGCAGCCGCGGUAAUACGUAGGGGGCAAGCGUUGUCCGGAUUCAUUGGGCGUAAAGAGCUCGUAGGCGGUUCAGUAAGUCGGGUGUGAAAGCUCCGAGCUCAACUCGGAGAGGCCACCCGAUACUGCUGUGACUUGAGUCCAGUAGAGGAGCGUGGAACUCCUGGUGUAGCGGUGAAAUGCGCAGAUAUCAGGAAGAACACCUGCAGCGAAGGCGGCGCUCUGGGCUGGAACUGACGCUGAGGAGCGAAAGCGUGGGUAGCAAACAGG